rnacentral:rRNA from 1 species
UACGUAGGGUGCAAGCGUUGUCCGGAAUUAUUGGGCGUAAAGAGCUCGUAGGCGGUUUGUUGCGUCGGCUGUGAAAACCUGCGGCUUAACUGUGGGCUUGCAGUCGAUACGGGCAGACUUGAGUUCGGCAGGGGAGACUGGAAUUCCUGGUGUAGCGGUGAAAUGCGCAGAUAUCAGGAGGAACACCGGUGGCGAAGGCGGGUCACUGGACCACAACUGACGCUGAGGCGCGAAAGCUAGGGGAGCAAACAGG